rnacentral:rRNA from 1 species
CAAACUUUUGAUGGCGACCGGCGCACGGGUGAGUAACACGUAUCCAACCUGCCUCAUACUCGGGGAUAGCCUUUCGAAAGAAAGAUUAAUACCCGAUGUCAUAGUCCUACCGCAUGAUGGGAUUACUAAAGAAUUUCGGUAUGGGAUGGGGAUGCGUUCCAUUAGUUAGUUGGCGGGGUAACGGCCCACCAAGACAACGAUGGAUAGGGGUUCUGAGAGGAAGGUCCCCCACAUUGGAACUGAGACACGGUCCAAACUCCUACGGAAGGCAGCAG